GACGAACGCUGGCGGUGUGCUUAACACAUGCAAGUCGAACGGAAAGGCCCUGCUUUUGUGGGGUGCUCGAGUGGCGAACGGGUGAGUAACACGUGAGUAACCUGCCCUUGACUUUGGGAUAACUUCAGGAAACUGGGGCUAAUACCGGAUAGGAGCUCCUGCUGCAUGGUGGGGGUUGGAAAGUUUCGGCGGUUGGGGAUGGACUCGCGGCUUAUCAGCUUGUUGGUGGGGUAGUGGCUUACCAAGGCUUUGACGGGUAGCCGGCCUGAGAGGGUGACCGGCAACAUGGGGCUGGGGAUAGGCCCAGACUCCUACGGGGGGCAAGAGUGGGGGAAAAUGCACAAUGGGCGGAAGCCUGAUGCAGCAACGCCGCGUGCGGGAUGACGGCCUUCGGGUUGUAAACCGCUUUCGCCUGUGACGAAGCGUGAGUGACGGUAAUGGGUAAAGAAGCACCGGCUAACUACGUG
rnacentral:rRNA from 1 species